rnacentral:rRNA from 1 species
AGCGAACGCUGGCGGCAGGCUUAACACAUGCAAGUCGAGCGGGCCCUUCGGGGUCAGCGGCAGACGGGUGAGUAACGCGUGGGAACGUGCCCUUCGGUUCGGAAUAACUCAGGGAAACUUGAGCUAAUACCGGAUACGCCCUUAUGGGGAAUGGUUUACUGCCGAAGGAUCGGCCCGCGUCUGAUUAGCUAGUUGGUGAGGUUAUGGCUCACCAAGGCGACGAUCAGUAGCUGGUCUGAGAGGAUGAUCAGCCACACUGGGACUGAGACACGGCCCAGACUCCUACGGGAAGCAGCAGUGGGGAAUAUUGGACAAUGGGGGCAACCCUGAUCCAGCCAUGCCGCGUGAGUGAUGACGGCCUUAGGGUUGUAAAGCUCUUUUCUCCGGGACGAUAAUGACGGUACCGGAGGAAUAAGCCCCGGCUAACUUCGUG